UGUGUCAAACCACUCCUCACCUAUAGGCCCAUCUCUCCUCCUGAUGCUGCCCUCCAGCCUCCACCCAAGAUCCCAUGGUGCGCCUGGUUGCCGCUCCGUCUGGCCGGCCGGGAGGUGCGUGCAAGCUACACCAUGAAUCAGGAGAGCCGCAUGACAUCAUCUUCUCAUAGAUCUUCCUCGGCUCCGGCUCUGUCCCUGGCCUCCAAGGCGGAUACAUGGCGGUGGCCUUCCCAUGGUCCAAGGUGGCACGCCUGCAGUUGGCGCUGGAUAGCUCGCUGCCCUGCCGCUCUCCAUCCUAAUCGACUCCCCUCAGUCUUCCCCAACUUCGGCCCCGGCAAUAGGCAUUGCGUGCAUGUCUGUGCUGAGGACACAAAUUUGGGGGUCCAGCUCCUUGUGUGAAUGUGCAAGGAAUUCGGAACCUGCAUCUUUAAUAUGACAUGGUAUAUUUAUUCUUAAUCUCUCCAUUACGUUUUGUGUUUCAUUUUCUCGAUGGAAGUAAUUGUGGUUUAAUUUCACAUGGUUUUUAAACAAAUAAACACAUGAUGUGCUGAAUAGCUGACAUGCAGAGGAAAUGGUACAGCUUGAUGACUAUUUUACUACUAAAUUAUUCUCAGGUUAGUAGUAUGGGAGUACCUGUCAAGACUGACUUUUGGAAGUUAUGCUAGCCUCAUCAGUUGGGCUUUCUAUACAAAACUAGACUCAAUAUAAUUUAUUUUGGUGCUUGCGAUGAGUAUUAGACAGAGGGGUGAUGACCACAUAGUUCACCCAGUGUAUCUGUUCAUGUAUGUCAUUAAUUAUCUAAUUAGACAAAAAAAACUCUCUCUGUAUGGUGUUUGUGAUGAUGCUGUCAAUUUACUAAACACUAAAAUACCAGGUUGUUAUUUUCAAAUCUAGCAAAUUAAUUUUCUCUAUUGCUUCUUUUCCAGGCAGAAGUUUUAGUCUAUUAUGUUCCAUGAGUCUUACUGUCAAAAAAAAUAUAUGGUAGCAUCAGAAGUUGUCCCCAUCAGAUAAAACACUGCCUAAUAGAUUCAUUCUAUUACUGUAUAGCCAUGGUGACAAAAAUAUUCAGAUAACAAGAAACAAUUCUGUCAAAUAUUUUCAACGGAGAUACUAUUGCGGUCUAUAAGAAAAAAAUGUUAAUUAUUUAAUUAAACAGAAAACUAUGUUAUUUAUACCAACAGAUGCUAAACAAUCAGACUACCUGACACAAAAGUAUAUAUAUACAUUAGUUAAAUUUCAUUCCAAAAAUAGAUGAUGUAGUGGUAGAUGUUAAUCGUACAAAAACACGAGGAUGACAAACAUAAAUUAAUCACAUAUAUUAUCAUCACAGGUCGAUCUAACUGGUGGUAGUUAUUCUUUGCACUGAAAACAAAGUGGAAUCAAACGAUUCAAACAACCAAAAAGAAGGAAACAAAGGAUGCUUACGGAUCUGAAUGAGUUAGGGCGCUCCACUACUUGCAAGUAGAUCCAGCGACUCAAUGGCAGAGCUACU